rnacentral:rRNA from 1 species
UACGGAGGGUGCAAGCGUUAUCCGGAUUCACUGGGUUAAAGGGUGCGUAGGAGGGCAGGUAAGUCAGUGGUGAAAUCUCCGAGCUUAACUUGGAACUGCCGUUGAUACUAUCUGUCUUGAAUAUUGUGGAGGUGAGCGGAAUAUGUCAUGUAGCGGUGAAAUGCUUAGAUAAUGACAUAGAACACCAAAUUGCGAAGGCAGC